UUACCUUUGAGGUUUCACUCUUAUCGAAUUGAAUACUACCCGCCGCCCCCAGCCGCCUCUUACUGCCGGAUCCGACCCGACCACCAUCGCCAUGGCUCGGCGCCUCCACCUCCCGGCGAUGCAUCCGACCUCCCCGCGCGGUGUGUCCACCCCCGCCGACGCGUCCCGCCGCCCUAUGCCCCGCCGCCGCGCGUCGCCGCCCCAUGCCCCGUCGCCGCGCGCCGCCGCCCCAUGCCCUAUCACCGUGCGCCGCCACCCCCAGCCGCCUCUUACUGCCGGAUCCGACCCGACCACCAUCGCCAUGGCUCGGCGCCUCCACCUCCCGGCGAUGCAUCCGACCUCCCCGCGCGGUGUGUCCACCCCCGCCGACGCGUCCCGCCGCCCUAACCCUCCCCUUCCUCGUGUCAGUAUGGGCAACAUCCAGCCGGUGCCUGAACCCCAUCCCACCGGCGCGGCUCACUGCAGUCGUGGUGCUUCUGCGCCACGCCGCCGUUGGUCAAUGCCCCGUCUUCCGCGGCUCUCCGUUGCUCCCUAUACAUUUUCUUCUCACCGAGAAGUAAUUCCUCCCUUGUCCUCUCAUGGUGACUAUUGCAGAAAAUAAACACACGGGGACGUGCUGCCCUCAGUCCUCUGUCGACGGAUCCAGCAGUGCAGGUUCUCCGGUGCGUGAAGUAUUGCCGGCGUCAUGCCCAUUGAGAAGAUGCAGAUUUUCUUGUCAUGUUCUGCUGUCGAUCCCGUCCUCGGCAUCCACGAGCGUGAGCACCCCGUGUCCGGCGGCGAGAUGAAGGCCACCCGUGAUCCCUGCUUCCCGUCAUCACUUCCACCUCGUGUGAGUUCGCUGCCCAGAACAAGCACGGCCAACUACAGUUCCCGCUGGUCGCCUUGGCCACCCUCGGCCACGAGCUCGUCCACCAUGGUUACUGGCAGCUGUCCAAGUGGAGCGCCGACAUCAGUCCAGGUAGAAUCGCGGCCACCAUCUUCACCAAGCGCUACACAGCCGUCAAAGUCGAGCACACACAAAAGUCCAAGUUCUGGUUCUCUAGAUUGGUCUUGAUAAAGCUUUCAUACAGGAUGCAGCUUAAGCUGGAGUUCGUCGCUAAGCAGGAAACAUGGCUAUCAAUUAUCUUGUAUACAGAAGGUUUGGGACUGGAUCUUGUAAUGAAAGCUGGAGCAGAAGAAGUCCAGGAGGGAGAGCAGUUCGGCUUCCACGGCGCUGCCGACGUGCUCCCCUCGGCUUCCUGCAGUUCGAGGACGGACACCCCAGGUUCUCAAGCAGCAAAGUUAUCGCACAAAGUUGAACUUGCUGCUGCACCAUCUUCACCAAGUCAAACUUGCAACAGCCAGGGGAUCCACAGUCGUUGGGAGCUGUCCAAGUCCAGCUAUGACCGCAGUCCAAGUGGAACUGCGACCACCAUCUUCACCCAGUGCUGCACCCAUUGAGCACCCACACAGUGAGAACGCCAUCUCAUUGAGUGACAAUAUUAUGUAUGUUUGAUUUGCUCAACCUUAGAACUUGGAGAUAUUCACUCUAUUUUUCUAUGAUGAAGGCACACAUGAGAUCAUGUGCUAUGGUUAUCCCCC